rnacentral:rRNA from 1 species
ACGUAAUAGAUACCCGGGUAGUCCACGCCCUAAACGAUGUCUACUAGUUGUCGGGUUUUAAUUAACUUGGUAACGCAGCUAAACGCGUGAAAGUAGACCGCCUGGGGAGUACGGUCGCAAGAUUAAAACUCAAAGGAAUUGACGGGGACCCGCACAAGCGGUGGAUGAUGUGGAUUAAUUCGAUGCAACGCGAAAAACCUUACCUACCCUUGACAUGGCAGGAAUCCUGAAGAGAUUUGGGAGUGCUCGAAAGAGAACCUGCACACAGGUGCUGCAUGGCUGUCGUCAGCUCGUGUCGUGAGAUGUUGGGUUAAGUCCCGCAACGAGCGCAACCCUUGUCAUUAGUUGCUACGAAAGAGCACUCUAAUGAGACUGCCGGUGACAAACCGGAGGAAGGUGGGGAUGACGUCAAGUCCUCAUGGCCCUUAUGGGUAGGGCUUCACACGUCAUACAAUGGUACAUACAGAGGGCCGCCAACCCGCGAGGGGGAGCUAAUCCCAGAAAGUGUAUCGUAGUCCGGAUUGUAGUCUGCAACUCGACUAC